rnacentral:rRNA from 1 species
GAUGAACGCUGGCGGCGUGCCUAAUACAUGCAAGUCGAGCGAACAGACGAGGAGCUUGCUCCUCUGACGUUAGCGGCGGACGGGUGAGUAACACGUGGAUAACCUACCUAUAAGACUGGGAUAACUUCGGGAAACCGGCGCUAAUACCGGAUAAUAUAUUGAACCGCAUGGUUCAAUAGUGAAAGACGGUUUUGCUGUCACUUAUAGCUGGAUCCGCGCCGCAUUAGCUAGUUGGUAAGGUAACGGCUUACCAAGGCAACGAUGCGUAGCCGACCUGUGAGGGUGAUCGGCCACACUGGAACGUGGACACGGUCCAGACUCCUACGGGAGGCAGCAGUAGGGAAUCGUCCGCAAUGGGCGAAAGCCUGACGGAGCAACGCCGCGUGAGUGAUGAAGGUCUUCGGAUCGUAAAACUCUGUUAUUAGGGAAGAACAAAUGUGUAAGUAACUAUGCACGUCUUGACGGUACCUAAUCAGAAAGCCACGGCUAACUACGUG